rnacentral:rRNA from 1 species
UACGUAGGUGGCAAGCGUUGUCCGGAAUUACUGGGUGUAAAGCGCGUGUAGGCGGCAGACCAAGUCGGCGGUGAAAGCGCCCGGCUCAACUGGGCGAGGUCCGUGGAAACUGGUCAGCUGGAGGACGGUAGAGGCGAGUGGAAUUCCCGGUGUAGUGGUGAAAUGCGUAGAGAGUCGGGAGGAACACCUGUGGCGAAGGCGGCUCGCUGGGCCGGUCCUGACGCUGAGACGCGAAGGCGUGGGGAGCGAACGGGG